UUGACAUCCCGAUGCUACUUCUAGAGAUAGAAAGUUACUUCGGUUACAUCGGUGACAGGUGGUGCAUGGUUGUCGUCAGCUCGUGUCGUGAGAUGUUGGUUAAGUCCCGCAACGAGCGCAACCCCUAUUGUUAGUUGCCAUCAUUCAGUUGGGCACUCUAGCGAGACUGCCGGUAAUAAACCGGAGGAAGGUGGGGAUGACGUCAAAUCAUCAUGCCCCUUAUGACCUGGGCUACACACGUGCUACAAUGGUUGGUACAACGAGUUGCGAGUCGGUGACGGCGAGCUAAUCUCUUAAAGCCAAUCUCAGUUCGGAUUGUAGGCUGCAACUCGCCUACAUGAAGUCGGAAUCGCUAGUAAUCGCGGAUCAGCACGCCGCGGUGAAUACGUUCCCGGGCCUU
rnacentral:rRNA from 1 species